UUUCGUCCUGCUCGUGGAACAACGGACCAGCUCUUUACUCUUUCCAGGAUCAUGGAGGGGGCUUGGGAGUAUGCUCAGUCUACAUGUGUUUUGUGGACUUGGAGAUGGCGUACGACCGGGUCCCACGAAAGAAACUGUGGGAGGUGCUGCGGGAGUCCUUGCUUGGGGCCAUCCAAUCCUUGUACGCCCAAAGCGAGAGCUGUGUUCGGGUGCUCAGCAGAUAUCGAGGCAUAGUCAGGAGGAGGGUCUACAGUUCGCGGGGCUGCGGAUCUCAUCGCUGCUUUUUGCAGAUGAUGUGGUCCUGAUGGCAUCUUCUGUCUGUGACCUCCAACUCUCACUGGAGCGUUUCGCAGUCGAGUGUCAAGCGGUCGGGAUGAGGAUUAGCACCUCUAAAUCUGAGGCCAUGGUUCUCAGCAGGAAACCGAUGGAUUGCCUACUCCAGGUGCUUCCCGGAUCCAGAGGUAAUGGAGGUGAUUGGAGUCCACCUGUGCAGAGUUUGCCAUCUGCUGAGUGGCUCACACUCUUUCCGGCCAAUCGCUGUUGUGGGCUGCACACAAAAGAGGCACACCCUGGUCUUUCAAGGAGG
ensembl:lncRNA